rnacentral:rRNA from 2 species
GACAGAGGGUGCAAACGUUGCUCGGAAUCACUGGGCGUAAAGGGCGCGUAGGCGGACAAGUAAGUCGGGCGUGAAAUCCCUAGGCUCAACCUAGGAACUGCACUCGAAACUGCAUGUCUUGAGUACCGGAGAGGAAAGCGGAAUACCUGGUGUAGAGGUGAAAUUCGUAGAUAUCAGGUGGAACACCAGUGGCGAAGGCGGCUUUCUGGACGGUAACUGACGCUGAGGCGCGAAAGCGUGGGGAGCGAACAGG